GACGAACGCUGGCGGCGUGCUUAACACAUGCAAGUCGAACGGAAAGGCCCUGCUUUUGUGGGGUGCUCGAGUGGCGAACGGGUGAGUAACACGUGAGUAACCUGCCCUUGACUUUGGGAUAACUUCAGGAAACUGGGGCUAAUACCGGAUAGGAGCUCCUGCUGCAUGGUGGGGGUGGGAAAGUUUCGGCGGUUGGGGCUGGACUCGCGGCUUAUGAGCUUGUUGGUGGGGUAGUGGCUGACCAAGGCUUUGACGGGUAGCCGGCCUGAGAGGGUGACCGGCCACAUUGGGACUGAGAUACGGCCCAGACUGCUACGGGAGGCAGCAGUGGGGAAUAUUGCACAAUGGGCGGAAGCCUGAUGCAGCAACGCCGCGUGCGGGAUGACGGCCUUCGGGUUGUAAACCGCUUUCGCCUGUGACGAAGCGUGAGUGACGGUAAUGGGUAAAGAAGCACCGGCUAACUACGUG
rnacentral:rRNA from 1 species